rnacentral:misc_RNA from 1 species
GAUGAAGAACGUAGCGAAAUGCGAUAAGUAGUGUGAAUUGCAGAAUUCAGUGAAUCAUCGAAUCUUUGAACGCACAUUGCGCCCUUUGGUAUUCCAAAGGGCAUGCCUGUUCGAGCGUCAUUUGUACCCUCAAGCUUUGCUUGGUGUUGGGCGUCUUGUCUCUAGCUUUGCUGGAGACUCGCCUUAAAGUAAUUGGCAGCCAGCCUACUGGUUUCGGAGCGCAGCACAAGUCGCACUCUCUAUCAGCAAAGGUCUAGCAUCCAUUAAGCCUUUUUUUUCAACUUUUGACCUCGGAUCAGGUAGGGAUACCCGCUGAACUUAAGCAUAUCAAUAAGCGGAGGA